GCGCCUGUAGCUCAACUGGAUAGAGCGUCUGACUACGGAUCAGAAGGCUAGGGGUUCGACUCCUCUCAGGUGCG
rnacentral:tRNA from 1 species